UGCAUUUGUUUUCAGAAGGUGUGUUGAGUUCCUUUUGUUCAGAGUGAAUACUUGGCAGAGACUGAGAGGUGAGUUUUGUAAUCAUCCUGCCUGACUUGAGGUGCAAUAAUAACGCAUGUUAACUAAUCACCAUUUUCACUGUUUUGUUGAAUUGUCACACAUCCUCCAUAUUAAAACAACAAUGUACAAAAAGAUCAGGGUAUUACCGCUAUUAAAGUAGCAUAUGAUUGAGAAAUAGAUCAGGGGCUUAAGCCUCUGAAGCCCCCAGCCAUAAACCGCCCCAUCCUGACCCCACUGUUUGCAGUCCUUCCUAAGGCCCAGUAUUGGCAAUGAUAAUCCAACAGCAGAGCUGCAGCACCAGGUCUUACACCAGCAGUUUUAAUGAUAGAAGUUAACGAUAGGGGUUAGUGUUGUUAGCAUAUAAUAGAGAUAUGCGCUGAUAACAAUUCCACCAUGACAAUGCCUGUGUAGAGUUGCUGGUAUAGGCCUUUGUUGUGGUGCUGUCGCUCUGCAGCUGGAUGCUUCUCAUUAUCAGUCAUAAUGGGUCAAUUUGGAAGAGCCAGCAAAUGUAACAUGCACAUAGACACAAGGAGAACGUGCAAAGUCUGUGGAGAAAAUGACAGGGCUUGGGAUUUGAACACAGGAUGUUGAAUUUGUAGGAAAAAUCACACACAUAUAUAUAUAUAUAUAUCAUAGUUUCUUAAACUAUGGGUUGCGACCCAUUUUGGGCCACACAGAAUCAUGAUUCAGAGUUCUAUUCAAUGGGAAAGUGCCGCGGACAGUUGGUGGAGUGUCCCAUCACAGCAUCGACCCUUCAAGGAGGACCCCACCAGUCCCCUGACCGUGAUACCUGCAAAUCUUACAAAUGCCCCUGACUGGCACCCUGUUCAGGAUUGGCUCCUUCAUUUAGCAGAAUGGUAUAGUAGCUGGCAUUGCUAACACCCAGAUCUAGGGACUUCAUUCAUGUACUGGACAUAGUGUUCCUCACAAGCUUAAACACAAAAAUUAAUAUGGAGAUUUGUAAGGAAAUAUAUGACAUAUUUAUUACAGGAGAUUGUUUAUUGAAUAUUUAAUAUUAGAAGUUCCCACUUGGUACAGUUUGCCCUCCACAUUUUGCUAGACCCACCGUAUAGACCUCAUAGCUCACCGUGAUUGUUAGCACCUAGUGGUGGGUGGGCUGUAUUUGCAGAACUGAGAGGACUGAAAUGGCUCAGUGCCACUAAAUUCUUAGUGUAAAAUUAGGUCUGUCCACCAUAAAGGUGAACACUAAGGAAUAUUUUCAAUAUUCAGUUACACCUAUUUACCGAAACAUCUCAGAACCAAUUCAUUGCCUUCCUCAUCCAUGCUCAUUACUACUCCAUUCUCUUGGGACACGUAGAAGUCCUAUAUUAAUGGCAGGAUCUUCAUCUAAUCACAGGCCAUAAUGAAAGGUGCUUUCAAAGUAAACGCAUUGCAUUCAUUUACGAUUUUUACUUAAUCAUUAUUAUUCACUGUUGUAUUUGAUUCCCUGGUCUGACUGAGGUGUAGCUUGUAGGCCUUUAGGUAAAAUGAUGCACGAUCUGUUGGAAUGACAAACACAACACAUUUUAUUACUACAAAUGUUUGUGAUGUGCCAUCUGUUGGAAUGAUGAAUAUAAAGUGUGUCUUCACAUAGACACAGGGAAUAAAUUGCCAGGUAUUGUGGUGGGGAGAAGGUCUUCAGAAACCUUCAUAAAUCAACCAGGUCAAGAGGAUUGGCAAGGUUAGUUGGGUUAAAUGGCCUGUUCUCUCCAAUAUUCUAAUAUAAGAGCUGUAUCCAAAGGGAGCGGAUAAUGUAAAAAACAAAACUUUGGGGUUUUAGCCAAGUUUAACUUAUAGUGCUAAAAAAAUACCUCAUGUGGAGUCUGUAUGUUCAUGCAGUCCCAUGUGGGCUUUUCCUUCUACAUCACACAGUCAUGUAUUUUAGGUCAUCAUUGACACUUGUCUGGACACUGUGAGUGAGUGGGGUGUGUGCAUGAGUGAGACUGGUGAUGGGCUGGUGCCUGCCAAUUAUACCAAGCUAAACUCUACCACACCAAACACAAAAUCUACCAAGACACUACCAAGUUAGAUUGUACCACACACAAACAGAUAUACAGUAUAAAGGGCAUUGGUGGGUUUGCUAACAACUUCUACAAUUUGAAUCAGUUGUAACUUUUAUGUUAUUGUUUCAAUUAAAAAAAUAUUGUAUGUAAAAUGACAGACAGACAGACAGAUAGAUAGAUAGAUAGAUAGAUAGAUAGAUAGAUAGAUAGAUAGAUAGAUAGAUAGAUAGAUAGAUAGAUAGAUAGAUAGAUAGAUAGAUAGAUAGAUAGAUAGAUAGACAUUUUAUACCAUUCGUUAUUUUACAAACUUGUCCCAAUGAACAGAGUGUUAAUUUUGAGCAUGAAAGACAAUUAGGAGGUCUAAUGCGGGUAAUAAUCUUGAGAGGCUGCCAUCCAGAAAAAUAUAUUCUGUAUUAAAUUUCAAACCACAAUAAAAGCAUGGGAGAAAUUUGA